GGGCGUAAAGAGCUCGUAGGUGGUUUGUCGCGUUGUUCGUGAAAUCUCACGGCUUAACUGUGAGCGUGCGGGCGAUACGGGCAGACUAGAGUACUGCAGGGGAGACUGGAAUUCCUGGUGUAGCGGUGGAAUGCGCAGAUAUCAGGAGGAACACCGGUGGCGAAGGCGGGUCUCUGGGCAGUAACUGACGCUGAGGAGCGAAAGCGUGGGGAGCGAACAGGAUUAGAUACCCUGGUAGUCCACGCCCGUAAACGGUGGGUACUAGGUGUGGGUUUCCUUCCUUGGGAUCCGUGCCGUAGCUAACGCAUUAAGUACCCCGCCUGGGGAGUACGGCCGCAAGGCUAAAACUCAAAGGAAUUGACGGGGGCCCGCACAAGCGGCGGAGCAUGUGGAUUAAUUCGAUGCAACGCGAAGAACCUUACCUGGGUUUGACAUGCACAGGACGCGUCUAGAGAUAGGCGUUCCCUUGUGGCCUGUGUGCAGGUGGUGCAUGGCUGUCGUCAGCUCGUGUCGUGAGAUGUUGGGUUAAGUCCCGCAACGAGCGCAACCCUUGUCUCAUGUUGCCAGCGGGUAAUGCCGGGGACUCGUGAGAGACUGCCGGGGUCAACUCGGAGGAAGGUGGGGAUGACGUCAAGUCAUCAUGCCCCUUAUGUCCAGGGCUUCACACAUGCUACAAUGGCCGGUACAAAGGGCUGCGAUGCCGUAAGGUUAAGCGAAUCCUUUUAAAGCCGGUCUCAGUUCGGAUUGGGGUCUGCAACUCGACCCCAUGAAGUCGGAGUCGCUAGUAA
rnacentral:rRNA from 1 species